CUUGGAAACUGUUAAAUUACAGAUAAUUAUAUUAGAAACAAACUUCUCAGAUUCAGUCACUCAAAGUAACCUAUAAAACUUAUUUAAUUUCUACUUCUAUUUAAUUAUACACAUACAUCGUUUGAACUUUAAAAGUAAAUCAUACUUUAUCAAACAGAUAAGGUACACAUUAACUGUAUCAGUCUAGUUUAAUCACAUUCUUGUAAUAGUGAAAUAACUGAUCAUCCACCACGGUUCCCAUUUCUGAUUUUGAAUACAGUCUGCUGUUUGUUCUUGUCCAUUCGUUAUUUUUGUUAUCGUGAAUUUGAAGAUCGCAGGUAUGCUAUU
rnacentral:lncRNA from 1 species